rfam:Gossypium arboreum cultivar AKA8401 contig_16091_3, whole genome shotgun sequence.
AACCCAUGAUGAGGGGACCUUCUUAAUAGGUCCUUGUAUCUCUCUCAUGCAUCAUAGAGUGUUUCUAAAUCCAUUUGCACAAAAGAAGAAAUAUCAUUCCUUAAUUU